CAGUGUACUGUUCUACAUGAGGGGUACCAUCCUGCACAGGGGCUACCAUUCUACACUGGGGGUACCAUCCUGUACAAGGGGUACUGUUCUGCAUGAGGGGUACUGUUCUACGCCAGGGGUAUUGUCCUACACCAAUUAUUUUAUGUGUGAGCUACAUUUAUCUAAUAGCAGGCAGCAGUAAGGCAUGUAGAGAGGGCAUGAGCUUUGCAGGUGGGGACACUAGAUGCCAAAUCCCACUUCAGUCACCAAGAACUGUGUGGCCUCACGAAAGUCAGUUUAAAUGGAUUUGAACUUCACCUUUCUCACGUAAAGUGAGACAUGAAUACCUUCCUCUUAGAGUUCUGAUAAAGAUUAGAUCCCAUAGAUGCAAAACCUAGCAUGGGGAGCAGCA
rnacentral:lncRNA from 10 species